rnacentral:rRNA from 1 species
UACGAAGGGGGCUAGCGUUGCUCGGAAUUACUGGGCGUAAAGGGCGCGUAGGCGGAUAGUUAAGUCAGAGGUGAAAGCCCAGGGCUCAACCUUGGAAUUGCCUUUGAUACUGGCUAUCUUGAGUUCGGGAGAGGUGAGUGGAAUGCCGAGUGUAGAGGUGAAAUUCGUAGAUAUUCGGCGGAACACCAGUGGCGAAGGCGGCGAUCUGGACAGAUAUUGACGCUGAGGUGCGAAAGCGUGGGGAGCAAACAGG